rnacentral:rRNA from 1 species
UCUGACGGANCACGCCGCGUGAGUGAUGAAGGCUUUCGGGUCGUAAAACUCUGUUGUUAGGGAAGAACAAGUACGAGAGUAACUGCUCGUACCUUGACGGUACCUAACCAGAAAGCCACGGCUAACUACGUGCCAGCAGCCGCGGUAAUACGUAGGUGGCAAGCGUUAUCCGGAAUUAUUGGGCGUAAAGCGCGCGCAGGCGGUUUCUUAAGUCUGAUGUGAAAGCCCACGGCUCAACCGUGGAGGGUCAUUGGAAACUGGGGAACUUGAGUGCAGAAGAGAAAAGCGGAAUUCCACGUGUAGCGGUGAAAUGCGUAGAGAUGUGGAGGAACACCAGUGGCGAAGGCGGCUUUUUGGUCUGUAACUGACGCUGAGGCGCGAAAGCGUGGGGAGCAAACAGGAUUAGAUACCCUGGUAGUCCACGCCGUAAACGAUGAGUGCUAAGUGUUAGAGGGUUUCCGCCCUUUAGUGCUGCAGCUAACGCAUUAAGCACUCCGCCUGGGGAGUACGGUCGCAAGACUGAAACUCANGGUUUUUGACGGGGGGA